GCCUUUAGAGACUUAAUUGAAGCAGCAUUGGGGCUUCGUUGAGCCGUUUGUGGGACUUCUUGUGGAUAGUUGGAGCCUCAUACUAGAGCCUGUUACAGGAGAGGCUAGGGAUCGUGGCAAGGGAG